rnacentral:rRNA from 1 species
AUAACGGUCCUAAGGUAGCGAAAUUCCUUGUCGGGUAAGUUCCGACCUGCACGAAAGGCGCAACGACUUGGGCGCUGUCUCGACCAUGGACCCGGUGAAAUUGCACUGGUCGUGAAGAUGCGACUUACCCGCGGAAGGACGGAAAGACCCCGUGAACCUUCACUGCAGCUUGGCAUUGGCCGCUGGUCCCGCGUGUAGAGGAUAGGCAGGAGGCACAGAUCCGGAGGCGCCAGCCCCCGGGGAGCCGCCCUUGGAAUACUGCCCUCGCGCGACCGGCGUCCUAACCCGAGGCCGUCAACCGGCUCGGGGACCGUGCCAGGCGGGCAGUUUGACUGGGGCGGUCGCCUCCUAAAGGGUAACGGAGGCGCGCGAAGGUCCGCUCGGGACGGUCGGCAACCGUCCUUUUGAAUGCAAGAGUACAAGCGGGCUUGACUGCGAGGCCCACAAGCCGAGCAGGUGCGAAAGCAGGCUCUAGUGAUCCGGCGGCCCCGAGUGGGUGGGCCGUCGCUCAACGGAUAAAAGGUACUCCGGGGAUAACAGGCUGAUCUUGCCCAAGAGUCCACAUCGACGGCAAGGUUUGGCACCUCGAUGUCGGCUCAUCGCAUCCUGGGGCUGGAGCAGGUCCCAAGGGUACGGCUGUUCGCCGUUUAAAGCGGUACGCGAGCUGGGUUCAGAACGUCGUGAGACAGUUCGGUCCCUAUCCUCCGUGGGCGCAGGAGAAUCGAUGGAGGCUGCCCCCAGUACGAGAGGACCGGGGUGGACGCACCUCCGGUGAACCGGUUGUCGACCAACGGCACGGCCGGGUAGCCGCGUGCGGCGCGGAUAACCGCUGAAGGCAUCUAAGCGGGAAGCCGUUCCAGGGAUUAGUUCUCCUUCCGGUAAGGGCCCAGGUAGACUACCUGGUCGAUAGACGGCAGGUGCAAGGCUGGCGACAGCCUCAGCCGAGCCGCACUAAUCGCCCGAGCUCUUCCGGAA